rnacentral:rRNA from 1 species
GACGAACGCUGGCGGCGUGCCUAAUACAUGCAAGUCGAACGCAGUGGGGACGGGUGAGUAACACGUGGGUAACCUCCCAUCAGAGGGGAUAACACUUGGAAACAGGUGCUAAACCGCUACUGACGGCUUGACCGGCGGUGCAUUAGCUAGUUGGCGGGGUAACGGGUCACCAAGGCCACGAUGCAUAGCCGACUGGACGGGGUGAGCGGGCACACUGGGACUGAGAGACGGCCCAGACUCCUACGGUAGGCAGCAGUAGGGAAGCUUCGGAAAUGGACGAAAGUCUGAAAGAGCAACGCCGCGUGAGUGAAGAGGGUUUUCGGGUCGUAAAGCUCUGUUGUUAGUGAGGCGGUAGCUGACCAGAAAGCCACGGCUAACUACGUGCCAGCAGCCGCGGUAAUUC